rnacentral:rRNA from 1 species
CCUACGGGAGGCAGCAGUGGGGAAUAUUGGGCAAUGGGCGCAAGCCUGACCCAGCAACGCCGCGUGAAGGAAGAAGGCCCUCGGGUUGUAAACUUCUUUUAUCAGGGACGAAACAAAUGACGGUACCUGAUGAAUAAGCCACGGCUACCUACGUGCCGGCAGCCGCGGUAUUACGUAGGUGGCAAGCGUUAUCCGGAGUUACUGGGUGUAAAGGGCGUGUAGGCGGGAGAGCAAGUCAGACGUGAAAUUCCAGGGCUCAACCCUGGAACUGCGUUUGAAACUGUUCUUCUUGAGUGAUGGAGAGGCAGGCGGAAUUCCGUGUGUAGCGGUGAAAUGCGUAGAUAUACGGAGGAACACCAGUGGCGAAGGCGGCCUGCUGGACAUUAACUGACGCUGAGGCGCGAAAGCGUGGGGAGCAAACAGGAUUAGAUACCCGUGUAGUC